rnacentral:rRNA from 1 species
GGCGGCGUGCUUAACACAUGCAAGUCGAACGCGAAAGGGACUUCGGGUCCUGAGUAAAGUGGCGCACGGGUGAGUAACGCGUAGAUAACCUGUCUUCAUGUCUGGAAUAAUACGCCGAAAGGGGUACUAAUACCGGAUAUUCUUGCUUUUCAUAAGUUAUGCAAGCAAAGGUGGCCUCUGCAUAUGCUACUGCAUGAAGAGGGGUCUGCGUACCAUUAGCUAGUAGGUGGGGUAAUGGCCUACCUAGGCGACGAUGGUUAGCGGGUCUGAAAGGAUGAUCCGCCACACUGGCACUGGAACACGGGCCAGACUCCUACGGGAGGCAGCAGUGAGGAAUAUUGCGCAAUGGGGGAAACCCUGACGCAGCGACGCCGCGUGAGUGAGGAAGGCCUUCGGGUCGUAAAGCUCUGUCAAGAGGAAAGAAGUGUACAAUGGCUAAUACCUGUUGUAUUUGACGGUACCUCUAAAGGAAGCACCGGCUAACUCCGUGCCAGCCGCGGC